AUAAAAGCUGAGAAUUAAAGUAGUACCUUGUGGAAGUGUCACAGAGAGUCGAUGUUGCUGAGAAUCGAUACAUGAAAGCAUGCGGAACUUGUUAAGGAGCUGAUAGGCAACUAUCCGUAAACUUCGCGUUAAGAAGAAAUGAAGGGCACUUGUACAAGUGAACUAAGGUGGUACCGCGUUAAUUAUGACGUCCUUAGA
rnacentral:ncRNA from 1 species